rnacentral:rRNA from 1 species
GUUUGAUCCUGGCUCAGCCUGAACGCUGGCGGCAUGGCUAAAACAUGCAAGUCGAGGGAGAAGGGGACUUCGGUCCCCGGACACCGGCGAAAGGGCGAGUAAUACGAUCGAACGUGCCCCGAGGUAGAGGAUAGCUGUGGGAAACUGCAGGUAAUACUCUAUAAGUUCCAAGGAAGAAAGCUCCGGCGCCUUGGGAGCGGCGAUCGUCCUAUCAGGUUGUUGGUGGGGUAAAGGCCUACCAAGCCGAAGACGGGUAGCGGGUGUGAGAGCAUGGCCCGCCGCAUCGGAACUGAGACACUGUCCGGACUCCUACGGGAGGCUGCAGUAACGAAUCUUCCGCAAUGCGCGAAAGCGUGACGGAGCAAUGCCGCGUGUGGGAUGAAGCGGUUACGCCGUGUAAACCACUGUCAGGACUUAGGAAGAACUGACCGAGUCCAAAGGAAGGGCCGGCUAAUCUCGUGCCAGCAGCCGCGGUAAUACGAGAGGCCCGAGCGUUAGGCGGAAUCACUGGGCUUAAAGGGUGCGUAGGCGGAUCAGUAAGCAUUUUGUGAAAUCCCUCGGCUCAACCGAGGAAUUGCAGAGUGAACUGCUGAUCUUGAGGUAGGCAGAGGUCAUCGGAACGUACGGUGGAGCGGUGAAAUGCGUAGAUAUCGUACGGAACGCC